UAUCUCUGUAGAGUCUGCAUAUCAAUAAGCGGAGGAAAAGAAACUAACAAGGAUUCCCUUAGUAACGGCGAGUGAAGCGGGAAGAGCUCAAAUUUGAAAUCUUCAAGGUUCUACCUUGACGAAUUGUAGUUUAUAGAAGUGUUUUCUGUUAGUGGAGUGGCAAAAGUUCUUUGGAAUAGGACAUCAUAGAGGGUGAGAAUCCCGUAUUUGGUCGUUCCUCCUAGCGUUGUGAUACACUUUCAACGAGUCGGAUUGUUUGGGAAUGCAGUCCAAAAUGGGCGGUAAAUUUCAUCUAAAGCUAAAUAUUGGCGAGAGACCGAUAGCGAACAAGUACCGUGAGGGAAAGAUAAAAAGAACUUUGAAAAGAGAGUUAAACAGUACGUGAAAUUGUCAAAAGGGAAGCGUUUGACACCAGUGUUGUUUUUCCGAAAAUCAAUUACGAAUGUUUUAUUUUUGAGGAGUUAUGACUUCAUCGGCUUGCUCCUUUCUUUAUGAAACUUUCUUAAUGCACUUUUCGGUUAACAAGUCAACAUCAAUUUCUUUUGCUGUAAAAGGGUCAUGAGGAAGGUGGCUUUCUUUUCGGAGAAAGUGUUUAUAGCCUUGUGACUUCUGCAAUCGGAGAGAUUGAGGUCUGCAGCGUAGAUCCUUCGGGGUUAGAUACAUUUGUGCUAAGUUAUAGCCUUUCAUAGACAACUUGUUGACUAUGAUUCAGUCUUGUAGCUUACUCGCUUAUGCUAUUUUACCUACGCUUAGGAUGUUGAGUAGCGACAUACGCAC
rnacentral:rRNA from 1 species